GAAUGGCUCAUUAAAUCAGUUAUCGUUUAUUUGAUAGUACCUUACUACUUGGAUAACCGUGGUAAUUCUAGAGCUAAUACAUGCUAAAAACCCCGACUUCGGAAGGGGUGUAUUUAUUAGAUAAAAAACCAAUGCCCUCCGGGGCUCACUGGUGAUUCAUGAUAACUUAACGAAUCGCAUGGCCUUGUGCCGGCGAUGGUUCAUUCAAAUUUCUGCCCUAUCAACUUUCGAUUGUAAGGUAUUGGCUUACAAUGGUUUCAACGGGUAACGGGGAAUUAGGGUUCUAUUCCGGAGAGGGAGCCUGAGAAACGGCUACCACAUCCAAGGAAGGCAGCAGGCGCGCAAAUUACCCAAUCCCGACACGGGGAGGUAGUGACAAUAAAUACUGAUACAGGGCUCUUUUGGGUCUUGUAAUUGGAAUGAGUACAAUUUAAAUCCCUUAACGAGGAACAAUUGGAGGGCAAGUCUGGUGCCAGCAGCCGCGGUAAUUCCAGCUCCAAUAGCGUAUAUUAAAGUUGUUGCAGUUAAAAAGCUCGUAGUUGAACCUUGGGCCUGGUUGGUCGGUCCGCCUCACCGCGUGCACUGAUCCGACCGGGCCUUUCCUUCUGGGGAGCCGCAUGCCCUUCACUGGGUGUGUCGGGGAACCAGGACUUUUACUUUGAAAAAAUUAGAGUGUUCAAAGCAGGCCUAUGCUCGAAUACAUUAGCAUGGAAUAAUAGAAUAGGACGUGUGGUUCUAUUUUGUUGGUUUCUAGGACCGCCGUAAUGAUUAAUAGGGAUAGUCGGGGGCAUCAGUAUUCAAUUGUCAGAGGUGAAAUUCUUGGAUUUAUUGAAGACUAACUACUGCGAAAGCAUUUGCCAAGGAUGUUUUCAUUAAUCAGUGAACGAAAGUUAGGGGAUCGAAGACGAUCAGA
rnacentral:rRNA from 1 species